rnacentral:lncRNA from 1 species
UUUUUUUUUUUUUUUUUUUUUUUUUUUUUUUUUUNAGACAUAUGGAAGUUCCCAGGCUAGGGGUCAAAUCAGAGGUACAGCUGCCGGCCACAGCCAUGUGGGAUCCAAACCAAGUCUGCGACCCACACCAUAGCUCACUGCAACACCGGAUCCCUAAUCCACUGAGCGAGGCCAGGGAUCGAACUCACAUCCUCAUGAAUACUAGUUGUAUUUGUUUCUGCUGUGCCACAAAUCUUCCCUAGAUCAAGAUUUCUGAGCAACUCAAAAUCCACAGCUAAAGACAGGACUUGGUGCGCAGCAGAUUUUUAGGAUUCACUGAAUUAAUGUCAAAACUGGCCUUUUCUGACCACACCUUCCCUGACUUUGGCUCAUAAAUAGGCAGACAUCAGCUUCCUGAACUUACAUUCUUUGCCUUGAACCCAGACCAUGCAUCCCACAGCCAGCAUCUAAUAAAAGGUGUUCUGAACAUCUCUUUUCCCAUUACUGCAUUUUCUCCCUUGGUGGUCCUUUCUCCCAUUCUACAUUUAUCUGGAUGCAUGGGGUGUGUCUUACAACUUUAUCCCUGGCCCAUGUUUCCCCGCCUACUCUGGUCUGCCCAGAGAGGAAGACCAAAUAAUAGCUAAAAACCAUUUUAACUGAUAUUUAUAGAAUAGUUCCUAUGUUCCAGGCUUUGUGCUAAAUAUGUGUUGAAGGUUAGGCUUUUCGGUCUGCCCACUGAUUAAGAAAAGUGCUGCUCUGAUCUCUCUUAUGUAAGAAAAAGGAGGCUUAGAUAAAGCAGUGGAAGAAGAUUAUGAACCAUGGGUUGCUAUACUCUAGAGUGAGUAAAGGGGUGGUGGGUCCUUCUAUAAAGGAGGCAUUUGGUGAGAGGACCAGAUGUAGGAUGUCUGGACACAGGGGCUGAGGAGUUUGGGUGGCAUCAUAGGCAAUGUGAAGCCCUAUAAGUUCCACCAUAAGUGGAAGAGUGACAAAUCAAUCAAUCAAUCAAUCUUUAUAUUUUACUCUAGCUCUUAUCUCUUUGAAUGGUUGAAAUUUUUUUUUUUAAACAAGUGGCCACACCUGCAACAUAUGGAAGUUCCCGAGCUAGAGGUCAAGCCACAGCCACUGCAGAAGCAAUGCCGAGUAGUUAUGUUGUGAGCCACAAGUUUGUCUGUGUCCUAUUACAGUCCUUCUUUCUUCUACCAGCAUCGAAAAGUAAUCUACACAUUCAUGGCAACAGAACUUGGAAAAACAAAACAAAGGAAAAUUAUGAAGUAAGAGAGGAAUGGCUAAAUUGUGCUGCACUAGUUUUUCAUAAGUCUAAGUUAUGAAAGAUAAAAAUUAUGGGAGUUCCUGCUAUGGCGCAGUGGGUUAAGAACCUGACAGCAGUGGCUCAGGUCGAUGCAGAGGUGUGGGUUCAAUCCCUGGCCCAGGAACUUCCUUAUGCCACAGGUACAGCCAUUAAAAAUAAACAAAAAUAAAAAUUAUGUCCUCACACAGAUGAGUAACAAAGCUAGUUUUGUGAAAGAUUUAGAACCUACAGUUGUAAAUACAGAUUCCUCCCUCAUGGUGACUGUGUAAAAAGAUGUGUGUGUUGCGUACGUGUAAAGAGAACUAGGAGAAAUGAAGGGCUAAUGGUGGGAUUAGAUUACAAACAUACUAUUCUGUAUUUUAAAAUGUUAAUGCUAUUUUAAUUGGUUUUAAUAAUAAAGGACAAUUUUAAGGAGAAAAACACAUUAAUCCAGCAGAGAUAUAUGGGUUAGAAGUGAAGGCUAGAAUAAGCAGGGUUUCUAGGCAUCAUCAGUGGAUGAGGGCACUGGAUUUCGAGCAUGGAAGCACUAGGGGAAAAACACAAUGGCCUUAAGACAUGUUCAGAGGGAAAACUCAGGGCCAUUUAGCGUCUAACAGAAUACAAAUCAUAAGAGAUGGAAAUCUUGCAAAGUAAUUCAAGGUUUCUAGGCUGAGGCCAAAUAUUAGUGCUAUGAAUAGAAACCACAGUACUCUAACGAGGCAUUUUCUGAUGAAGAUAAUUAUGACGUUAGGACUUACUUAUGAGAUGAGAGUUACUACAUUAAAAUAUCAUUACAGUGAAAAUUCAAGCGUGUGUGAUCUGGAGUCUUAUGGAACAAUUAGAACUGGAGCUACAGAUGAGUCAGUGGCAUAAUCUAAUUCAUUCUGGUGACAUGCAUUCUUUAGCUGACAUAGCAUUUAAAAAUAUAGAGUUUGGAUUUUUUUACCUAGAUAGGCACUCACCUCCCUGUAUUAUAUUCUAGCUUCCCUAUACCCCACCCCUGAAGCCAUUUGAUUUUGACUCCUGCUAUAAUCCCUGAGAGCCAUAGAAAUGAAUGAGUAAACUGCAGAAAAAGAGGUGGGAAGGAUGAGAGUUUGAGAAUGGGAUGACUAAUGCUAAGAAGCCUCUCAAAGUAUCCGAGGAAAGAACAAAUCAGAACAGCUGUCUUAACAGGAAUUCUAGAAAGGGAUAUGGAUAUAACUGAGCACGAGGGCAAAGAGAAUAAUCAACAAUAGGGAAAAAAAUCUUGAAUCUGAAGGAAAUCAUAACAUUGAAGGGCCUACUCAUUAGCACGAGAAACCAAAGACUCACACGUUGACAUAAUGUCAUUUCAGCUGGCAGGGUGGAGUUACCGGGAGAAAAAAAAAAAAAUCCAGGGCCAUAAAAAGAAAAACCAGGUCUAGCAUCAGAUUUCUCAAAGGCAGAAUAAAACACAGGAAAAUGUAGUUCCAUCAUAAAGUAAAACUUAAAUGUACCAUAUAAACCAGUAUUUCCAAGUAAAAGAAGCGAGAAUGAAAAGGUAACAUAUUGCAUAACUCUUUUGUGAUGAUACACUGAGAGAAGAAAACUAUAGGGAUCAGUAGUAGUCAGGGAUCAGAUCAUAGAGAACAGAUCAGUAGUUGGCAGGGAUUGGGAUGGGGGGUGGGGUGGGGUGGGGUGUGCAACUAAUUACAAAAGAUCAGCACAAGAAAGUUUUCGGGAAAAUGGAAUUCUCUGUAGUUUGAAUUGUGUUGUUUGUAAAGCAACUUUAUGCAUUUGUCAUAUUUCAGACCUAUAUAGAAGAGAGAAUUUACUUUUUGUAAAAUUUUAAAAAUAAAAUAUGAAAAAAAACCUGAUUUUAAAAUAGACAUUACAGCAUACGACAUAAAGGUAACUAACAGAAGAACUAAAAUGAAAAUUUUAUUAGCAGAUCUUGAAGGGAAGAGGAGGAGGUAGUGUGAGUUACAGCUUUCAUUGCAAAGGAGACAGUAAAUAAUCAUUUUAAACUGAUAAAUUUAAAAAUUAGUGCAGCCUAUCCCUUAGAUUUAUCAACCGAAAGAAAAAAACAGAAAUGGUUCAAAUGGUUUCAAUGGCAGUGGAACUUGUGUAAUUGAGGAGCUGGAGAGGGGAACUUUAAUAUUUCAUAUCUUCCUGUACCAUUUCAAUGAUACACGUGUAUGCAGUGCUUGUAGUUUGUUACAAAAUAAACUUCAAACUUAGACAAACAUUAUGGAUGCAAAAACAUCUUGAUUUCAAUCUUUUUUCACCAGAUCUUAUGGCAAAAAAAAAAAAUCAAAUUUAGAGCUAUACCCCCAAGGUAUUUAAGCACAAAGGGUAUCCUAAUUUCAUAAACACAUCAAAAAAGGACUAUAAUAAAUACUAUCAUAAAGGUUAAUACAUAAAAUAUAUAAAGUUGACACUUUUAUUAGUUGUUCGGAUUAUUAUAUUUAAUUGCUAUUUAAAUGUACCUCAUAAUUAUGUCAUGAUAAAAAUACCUUCAAAGAGAUAAUUUCCUCUCUUUAUGUUGACACAGCAACAUAAACACACUGAGAUAUUCAGUGAUGACCGAUAAGCCUGAAAGCAGUCAAUUCUCUUUUCAUCUACAGCCAAUCUGAAUCAAUGGGCCUAUGACAGCUACUCCUGGUGGAACCUAUGCUAAAACUUUUUGUAGAAAAACAUCACAGAGGCUUUGUGGUCUGAACAGAAUCUGACGGAGAAAAGACUUAAAGAAUAGUUAUUGAAAAAAGAAUUUACUCCAUUCAAGCAAGUUUUUAAUAACUUUUGAUCCAUUGCAAGAACCCCAAAGUGCCAGUAUAUGAAUGCAUAAUUAGGUAGGAGAAAAUUCAUUACAAAGUGAAUUUUGGUUCAACUUGACAAGCAAAAAAUUCUCCCAUAGCUGCUUUUGAGAAAAUUAUCAUACCUUCCUUUCAUCAAAAUGUUGCCAAUUCUGCAUUUCCGUCAAUAGCAUUUAACAUAUUUAUUUAGGUUGUCUGUUUUCUACCUCACUAAAUGGAUCAGCAGAUGGGUCUGAAGGUUUGCCUGCCUUUCCCUGCCUCUUUAUCCUCCAUGUGCAUUUCUCCUGCCAAACCUCACGUACUUCUAAUCCCAUCUGGGUACCUGCAUGGAGGAUAUGAACCGACAUACUCACUCCGAAGAAAAGAUAAGCAUGGCACCUUUCUAUAAAUACCUAGGCCACACUGUCUUCAAAGAGAAAGUAGCAGAGCUAAUGUUGAUGCAAAUUAGCAAUCGAUUUAGCUGGGCCCCCAAGCUUCCUUGGGAAUGUUUUUUGUAUCUGUGAUCUAUAAUCUCCUCCUCAGUCUCUAGUCAUUGUCUCUAACCAUAUCUUCCCUCCUUUUAAUUAUCCUGUCCCUCUACUGCAGCCAUUAUUAAUAACCUAAAGUAGUUCUCUAUUCCUGUCACUUCUUUGCUUGAAGGCUUUGAUGAUUCCCUCAACUCUAGCAGUUAAAGUCCAAAUUUCUAAGCCC